UACGAGGGGGGCGAGCGUUGUUCGGAAUUACUGGGCGUAAAGCGCGUGUAGGCUGCUCUGCAAGUCGGAUGUGAAAGCCCUGGGCUCAACCUAGGAAGUGCACUCGAAACUGCAGAGCUUGAGUCCUGGAGAGGAAGGCGGAAUUCUCGGUGUAGAGGUGAAAUUCGUAGAUAUCGAGAGGAACACCGGUGGCGAAGGCGGCCUUCUGGACAGUGACUGACGCUGAGACGCGAAAGCGUGGGGAGCAAACAGG
rnacentral:rRNA from 1 species